GAUGAACGCUAGCGAUAGGCUUAACACAUGCAAGUCGAGGGGCAGCAUGGUCUUAGCUUGCUAAGACUGAUGGCGACCGGCGCACGGGUGCGUAACGCGUAUGCAACUUGCCUCACAGAGGGGGAUAACCCGUCGAAAGACGGACUAAUACCGCGUACACUCCAUCUUGGGCAUCCAAGGUAGAGGAAAUGAAAUUCGCUGUGAGAUAGGCAUGCGUCCCAUUAGCUAGUUGGUGAGGUAACGGCUCACCAAGGCGACGAUGGGUAGGGGAACUGAGAGGUGGAACCCCCACACUGGUGCUGAGAAACGGACAGACUCCGACGGGAGGCAGCAGUGAGGAAUAUUGGUCAAUGGGCGAGAGCCUGAACCAGCCAAGUCGCGUGAAGGAUGACUGUCUUAUGGAGUGUAAACUUCUUUUAUACGGGAAUAACAAGAGUCACGUGUGACUCCCUGCAUGUACCGUAUGAAUAAGCAUCGGCUAACUCCGU
rnacentral:rRNA from 1 species